UGUCUGGAACUGUCCAUACCCCUGC
rnacentral:piRNA from 1 species